rnacentral:rRNA from 1 species
CUUAUCGAUAAGCCAUUGGAGGGCAAGUCUGGUGCCAGCAGCCGCGGUAAUUCCAGCUCCAAUAGCGUAUAUUAACGUUGUUGCAGUUAAAAAGCUCGUAGUUGAAGUGAGGGAGUGUGUGUUCAUGAGAGCUAGUCUCGAGUGUUCACAACCUCCCCCCUCCAAUCGGUGUAGUGGGGUAUUCAGUUAUUUCACUACUCCUUUGGUCGUUUACUGUGAGAAAAUUAGAGUGUUCAAAGCGGGCGUUUGUUUGAAUAGAUUAGCAUGGAAUAAUGAUUGAAGGCUUUCGUGUUCGAUUUGAUUGGUUUGUUCAUGGAAGCAAGGUUAAAAGGAACAGUUGGGGGUAUUCAUAUUCACUAGUUAGAGGUGAAAUUCUCGGAUUUAUGGAAGAUGAACAAGUGCGAAAGCAA